CGGCGAUCUGGAACGGCAGAUGCAGCCCCGCGUUGGCGGUGAGGAUGGUGCUGCGCCCGUUCCAGUCGGGAUCGCCGU
rnacentral:tRNA from 1 species